AUACUGAGGGUGCAAGCGUUACUCGGAAUCACUGGGCGUAAAGCGCGCGCAGGCGGUCUUUUAAGUUGGAUGUGAAAGCCUACGGCUCAACCGUAGAACUGCAUCCAAAACUAUUAGACUAGAGUGUGGGAGAGGAAGAUGGAAUUAGUUGUGUAGGGGUAAAAUCCGUAGAGAUAACUAGGAAUACCAAAAGCGAAGGCAAUCUUCUGGAACACUACUGACGCUGAGGCGCGAAAGCGUGGGGAGCAAACAGGAUUAGAAACCCGAGUAGUCC
rnacentral:rRNA from 1 species